rnacentral:rRNA from 1 species
UACGGAGGAUGCAAGCGUUAUCCGGAAUGAUUGGGCGUAAAGCGUCCGCAGGUGGCUAUGUAAGUCUGCUGUUAAAGAGUGAGGCUCAACCUCAUAAGAGCAGUGGAAACUACAUGGCUAGAGUGCGUUCGGGGCAGAGGGAAUUCCUGGUGUAGCGGUGAAAUGCGUAGAGAUCAGGAAGAACACCGGUGGCGAAGGCG